CCCGCGCUCCUCCGGGCAGAGCGCGUGUGGCGGCCGAGCACAUGGGCCCGCGGGCCGGGCGGGCUCGGGGCGGCCGGGACGAGGAGGGGCGACGACGAGCUGCGAGCAAAGAUGUGCCCCGGGACCCCCGGCACCUUCCAGUGGAUUUCCUUGCGGAAAGGAUGUUGGCGGUCCCUGUGACCUGUGGAGACACGGCCAGAUCUGCCCUCCAGCCUGAUCUUUUGGCCAGAAGGAGAUUAAAAAGAUGCCCCUCAAGAUGGCUGUGCCUGUCAGCUGCAUGGAGCUUCGUUCAAGUAUUUUCUGAGCCUGAUGGAUUUACAGUGAUCUUCAGUGGUCUGGGGAAUAACGCUGGUGGAACCAUGCACUGGAAUGACACACGCCCGGCACAUUUCAGGAUACUAAAAGUGGUUUUAAGGGAGGCUGUGGCUGAAUGCCUCAUGGAUUCUUACAGCUUGGAUGUCCAUGGGGGACGAAGGACUGCAGCUGGCUGAGAGGGUUGAGAUCUCUGUUUACUUAGAUCUCUGCCAACUUCCUUUGGGUCUCCCUAUGGAAUGUAAGACCCCGACUCUUCCUGGUGAAGCAUCUGAUGCACGUUCCAUCCGGCGCUCAGCUGGGCUUGAGCUGACCAUACUCCCUGGAGCCUUCUCCCGAGGUGCGCGGGUGACCUUGGCACAUACAGCCAUCAUGAUGGUACUUUAAGUGGAGGCUGAAUCAUCUCCCCUUUGAGCUGCUUGGCACGUGGCUCCCUUGGUGUUCCCCUUUUACUGCCAGGACACUGAGAUUUGGAGAGAGUCUCACUCUGUGGUCCAGGCUGAAGUACAGUGGCAUGAUCCCAGGUCACUGCAACCCCCACCUCCCGGGUUCAAGUGAUCCUCCUGCCUCAGCCUCCCGAGUAGCUGGUAUUACAGGCGUGUGCCACAAAGCCUGGCUAAGUUUUGUAUUUUUAGUAGAGACGGGGUUUCACCAUGUUGGCCAGGUUGGUCUCGAACUCCUGACCUCAAGUGAUCCACUCACUUUGGCCUUUCAACGUGCUGGGAUUACAGGCGAGAGUCACCGCACCCGGACGACUCUGACAUUUUUGAAGAGUCCAGAAUCCUGUUACACCUGGGAUUUAGGCACUUUCAAUCUGAAAAAAUACAUAUCCUUUCAGCACUCUGGACGGACUUGAGAACUGUCCUUACGUGACCUAAAGCUGGAGUAUUUUGAGAUUGGAGAAUUAAGAGUGUGGGCACCCUGGCUUCAAGCUCACGAGAAACCAGAAGGAAGUCACUGUGCAUAGCCAUCCCCUAAGAAGAGGGCAUUCCUGCUCUUCCUUCUCCAUGGCUAGAGGAUCUACAUGAACUAUUUAGAUUUUUUCUACCUGGGAGAUUUAACUCCUCUCUCCUAUUUAUUUAUUUAUAUAUCAGCAUGGACUUGCAGGCCAACAGAGAUUUUGAGAAACACAUUGAAGGAUCUGUUAACACUUGAUAUACCCAAUAAAAGCAGUGGUUGUGCCAGUGCUGAUCUGUCUUGAUGUGAAUGUGAACAAUGGGAACCUGAGCUGAGCAGUUAAUGCUAGGGUGACAGAAACUGGACCUCUCCCAAGACAUGUGACAGAGUAAUACAGCAGCCAACUUCUUCGCCAAAUUAAAGUUUUACAAGAUUUAACCUGUCAUCAAGACCUGGGAUUUUGGUGAAGGACAGAAUAACGGGCUCCCAGAUUCACAAGCCCCACCAAGAGGAUCACCCCAGGAACGCUUGGAGGCUGAGGAGUUCACUGAGGCUACUGCAUCUUGAGACUCAGGAUGAAGACCCAGCUUGGGGCUGUCAAAGGUUUUUUGCAUGUCUGACACCCAUGACUCCACCUGGACCUUAUGGCUCCACCCAGAAGCAAUUCAGCCCAACAGGAGGACAGCUUCAACCCAUUACGAUUUCAUCUCUGCCCCAACCACUCAGCAGCAAGCACCUGUUACCUGUCCACCCCCACCCCUUCCCCCAAACUGCCUUUGAAAAAUCCCUAACCUAUGAGCUUUGAAUAAGAUGAGUACGAACUUCAUCGCCCACGUGGCGUGGCCGGCCUCGUGUCUAUUAAAUUCUUUUUCUACUACAA
rnacentral:lncRNA from 1 species